GAUGAACGCUGGCGGCGUGCCUAAUACAUGCAAGUCGAGCGAACAGACGAGGAGCUUGCUCCUCUGACGUUAGCGGCGGACGGGUGAGUAACACGUGGAUAACCUACCUAUAAGACUGGGAUAACUUCGGGAAACCGGAGCUAAUACCGGAUAAUAUAUUGAACCGCAUGGUUCAAUAGUGAAAGACGGUUUUGCUGUCACUUAUAGAUGGAUCCGCGCCGCAUUAGCUAGUUGGUAAGGUAACGGCUUACCAAGGCGACGAUGCGUAGCCGACCUGAGAGGGUGAUCGGCCACACUGGAACUGAGACACGGUCCAGACUCCUACGGGAGGCAGCAGUAGGGAAUCUUCCGCAAUGGGCGAAAGCCUGACGGAGCAACGCCACGUGAGUGAUGAAGGUCUUCGGAUCGUAAAACUCUGUUAUUAGGGAAAAACAAAUGUGUAAGUAACUAUGCACGUCUUGACGGUACCUAAUCAGAAAGCCACGGCUAACUACGUG
rnacentral:rRNA from 1 species